CGCAUCUGUGCAUGCAGCAUAUCAAUAAGCGGAGGAAAAGAAACUAACAAGGAUUCCCUUAGUAACGGCGAGUGAAGCGGGAAGAGCUCAAAUUUGAAAUCUUCAAGGUUUUACCUUGACGAAUUGUAGUUUAAAGAAGUGUUUUCUGUUGAAGUUUUGGUAAAAGUUCUUUGGAAUAGGACAUCAUAGAGGGUGAGAAUCCCGUACUUGACCAUUUACUUUCAGCUGUGUGAUACACUUUCAAAGAGUCGGAUUGUUUGGGAAUGCAGUCCAAAAUGGGUGGUAAAUUUCAUCUAAAGCUAAAUAUUGGCGAGAGACCGAUAGCGAACAAGUACCGUGAGGGAAAGAUGAAAAGAACUUUGAAAAGAGAGUUAAACAGUACGUGAAAUUGUCAAAAGGGAAGCGUUUGACACCAGUGUUGUUUUUCUGAAAAUCAAUUAAAGAACUGUUUAUGCUAAGCUGUUUAGACUUUAUCAGCUAUCUGUUUAGUUUUGAGCUUUUCUUUAAUGCACUUUUCAGUUAACAAGUCUACAUCAAUUUCUUUUGCUGUAAAAAAGCUUGAGGAAGGUGGCUUGAGAUUCGUCUUAAGUGUUUAUAGCCUCUUGCCUAUGCAGUCGGAGAGAUUGAGGUCUGCAGCGUAGAUCCUUCGGGGCUAAAUGCAUUUGUGCUAAGUUAUAGCAUUUUAUAGACAACUUGUUGACUAUGAUUUGUCUUGUAGCUUACUCGCUUGUGCUAUUUUACCUACGCUUAGGAUGUUGAUCUCUCACAGUCGAGC
rnacentral:rRNA from 1 species